rnacentral:rRNA from 1 species
GAUGAACGCUGGCGGCGUGCCUAACACAUGCAAGUCGAGCGAAAAGACGAGGAUCUUGCUCCUCUGACGUUAGCGGCGGACGGGAGAGUAACACGUGUAUAACCUACUUAUAUGUCUGGUAUCUCCUCGGGAAACCGGCUCUAAUACCGUAUAAUAUAUUGAACCGCAUUGUUCAAUAGAGAAUGUCGGCUUUGCUGUCUCUUAUAGCUGCUUCCGCGCCGUAUUAGCUAGUUGGUAGGGUAACCGCUUAGCAAGGCGACGAUGCGUAGCCGACCUGAGAGGGGGAUAGGCGGCCCUGGAGCGGGACCGGGGACCAGGCGCCUACGAGAGGCAGCAGUAGGGAAUGGGCGGCAAUGGGCGAAAGCAUGACGGAGCGACGGCACGUGAGUGAUGAAGGUCUUCGGAGCGUGAAACUCGGUUAUGAGGGAAAAACAGAUGUGUAAGUAAACAUGGAGGGCGUGACGGUAACUAAUCAAAAAGCAACGGCUAACUACGUG